rnacentral:rRNA from 1 species
UAGGAUUCCCCUAGUAGCGGCGAGCGAACAGGGAAGAGCCCAGCACCGAAUCCCGCGGCCGACACCGGCCGCCGGGAAAUGUGGUGUUAGGGAGGAUCCGUCAUCCCGAGAUUUUGCAGUGCGUCCAAGUCCUUCUUGAACGGGGCCACAGCCCAUAGAGGGUGCCAGGCCCGUAGUGACCACUGCGGAUAACGGGAGGAUCUCUCCUUAGAGUCGGGUUGCUUGAGAGUGCAGCCCUAAGUGGGUGGUAAACUCCAUCUAAGGCUAAAUAUAACCACGAGACCGAUAGCGAACAAGUACCGUGAGGGAAAGUUGAAAAGAACUUUGAAGAGAGAGUUCAAUAGUACGUGAAACCGUUCAGGGGUAAACCUGAGAAACCCGAAAGUUCGAAAGGGGAGAUUCAGCGUGGCCCGACGUAGGCACGGAGGGGUCGUGUGACGGAUUGUGUCCGCACAGUCCGCGCUUUCCGCUCCGUGAGCCAACGCCGAACGCGUGCACUUCUCCUCUAGUAGGACGUCGCGAUCCGUUGGGUGUCGGUUUAAGGCCCGUGGUGGUGUCCUUGCUGUAUGGCUUGCCAUCCUGUAAGAACCCACGGUGUUUCCCGACCGACGUGCCCGACGGUAGACAUGAGGCGUGGGGCCGCCGAUCAUUAGGCGUCCGAAACGUGACAAGCUCCCUCGUGCGGUUGGUGAUCGGACCUGGUGCCGGUCCCGACCCCGAGAGGUUGUUGGUCGCGUAUAUCUCGGACAGACUCCGUUGAAACGCCGAUCAGCGACGCUAUAGUUUUGGGUACUUUCAGGGCCCGUCUUGAAACACGGACCAAGGAGUCUAGCAUGUGCGCAAGUCAUUAGGAUAUCACUAAACCUAAAGGCGCAAUGAAAGUAAAGGUCCGCCUCGUGCGAGCCUAGGGAGGAUGGGUGGAUUAUUAAAGCCAUCCCGCACUCCCGGGGCGUCUCAUUCUCAUUGCGAGAAGAGGCGCACCAAGAGCGUACACGCUGGGACCCGAAAGAUGGUGAACUAUGCCUGGUCAGGACGAAGUCAGGGGAAACCCUGAUGGAGGUCCGUAGCGAUUCUGACGUGCAAAUCGAUCGUCGGAACUGGGUAUAGGGGCGAAAGACUAAUCGAACCAUCUAGUAGCUGGUUCCCUCCGAAGUUUCCCUCAGGAUAGCUGGCGCUCAUAGAGCACGAGUUUCAUCCGGUAAAGCGAAUGAUUAGAGGCAUUGGGGUCGAAACGGCCUCAACCUAUUCUCAAACUUUAAAUGGGUGAGAUCUCCGGCUUGCUCGAACGCAUGAAGCCGCGAGACUCGAAUCAGAG